rnacentral:tRNA from 1 species
GGGAUAUAGCUCAGUUGGUAGAGUGCUUGCUUCGAAUGCACACGUCCCUGGGUUCAAUUCCCAGUAACUAACA